rnacentral:rRNA from 1 species
ACAGCAGUAGCCACGGUAAUACGUAGGUGGCAAGCGUUGUCCGGAAUUAUUGGGCGUAAAGGGCUCGCAGGCGGUUUCUUAAGUCUGAUGUGAAAUUCCUGGGCUUAACCUGAGGACUGCAUUUGAUACUGUGUGGCUUGAGUGUGGAAGAGGGUCGUGGAAUUCCCAGUGUAGAGGUGAAAUUCGUAGAUAUUGGGAAGAACACCGGUGGCGAAGGCGGCGACCUGGUCCAUAACUGACGCUGAGGCGCGAAAGCGUGGGGAGCAAACAGGAUUAGAGACCCCUGUAGUCCCUGUCUCUUAUAC